UCCUCGAUAGCUCAAUUGGCAGAGCACCCGGCUGUUAACCGGGUUGUUGCAGGUUCGAGUCCCGCUCGGGGAG
rnacentral:tRNA from 1 species